rnacentral:antisense_RNA from 1 species
GGAUAAUGCAAGUGUUUAACAGAUGCUUCACUAUUAAAAUAUUUUCCCCCCAAGUCUCAAAUAUUGAAGAAUCUCUAACCAGGGACACCAGUCCCAACGAAGACCUUGGGCGAUUUCAAAGUGCGGGCACCUCGAUUCCCCGAAUCUGUAGUGUGGCUGGUAUCGGUGUUUCCCUGGUUUAACUAGCCUGCUUGAAGGCGCAGAUCAUUCAUGGGGAAGUAAAACCGAAACCAGUCCUCUCCACCCCCUGCGGGUCUUCACUUUCCCAGUCUACAUCUGCCUGUGACUCCAGAAAGACAAACUGCAGAUUGGCCAAGUGCCUUUCAAAUUGUUUUUUACUGGAUGAAGAAACUCAACCAAGAAAAUAUAUGUCAAUUCUUGUAUAUGGGACAAUAUUAGCUGCUGUGAUUUUUAAUACUAGCAUAAAAUAUAAGAAUGUUUUUAUUACUGUGACAUUGUUUUUUUCUAAAUGAAUGCAUAGUGUAACAAUUGGUGUCAAAAAGCAUUGAAUUUUUUUCAAAUGGAUUAAGCUGGAAUAAUAAAGUGUAUCUAUGAGAUGAUUUCUGUAAACUCUGACUUGCUGAGAAAAAAGUGAAAAAGCUUUUUCUGGAAGAAACAUGGCAACUUAACCAUUAUUAAUCUGGACUAAAUAAAACAGGAAACUGCUUCUUUA